rnacentral:rRNA from 1 species
GUCCUUAACUGACGCUAAUGCUCGAAAGUGCGGGUAUCGAACAGGAUUAGAUACCCUGGUAGUCCGCACGGUAAACGAUGGAUGCCCGCUGUUGGCGAUACAGUGUCAGCGGCCAAGCGAAAGCGUUAAGCAUCCCACCUGGGGAGUACGCCGGCAACGGUGAAACUCAAAGGAAUUGACGGGGGCCCGCACAAGCGGAGGAACAUGUGGUUUAAUUCGAUGAUACGCGAGGAACCUUACCCGGGCUUGAACUGCAGGAGAACGAUUCAGAGAUGAUGAGGUCCUUCGGGACUCCUGUGGAGGUGCUGCAUGGUUGUCGUCAGCUCGUGCCGUGAGGUGUCGGCUUAAGUGCCAUAACGAGCGCAACCCCUUUCUUCAGUUGCCAUCAGGUUAUGCUGGGCACUCUGGAGACACUGCCACCGUAAGGUGUGAGGAAGGUGGGGAUGACGUCAAAUCAGCACGGCCCUUACGUCCGGGGCUACACACGUGUUACAAUGGGUGGUACAGAGAGCGGGCUGCCUGCAAAGUCAGCCGAAUCAUGAAAGCCGUCCUCAGUUCGGAUUGGGGUCUGCAACCCGACCCCAUGAAGCUGGAUUCGCUA